GCUGGAGUUCAGCUUAGGGAAGGAGGACUCUGAGGAGGCCCCGAGCGGCGGAGCGCUUCGGGGGAGGCGCCCGCGCAGACGCGAGGCCCAUAGCCAGGACCACCACCUAGCUGGAAAAGAACUACAGCCUGUGUGGGUCCCCUCCCGACAAUUAAAAUUGCACCAUAACUCCAAAGAUGAAACGCUCCCAGAAAGAAAAGGCAAAGACCCAUCGGAAACAAAAGAGCAACUUUCACCGCCUGAUACAUACACUUCAUGACAUCCACAUUGAGACAAAAUCUCGCCGUGUGACCUACAACACCUCUCGUUCAACCCCACCUACUUGGGGUCGAAUACAGAUUUUAUCUCAUCAAACAGAAAAAUUCUUAACAGAAAAAGGAAUCCCAAAAAUGACUGGUAAUAUAAUUCUGGCUGCCUUUAUGGUAGUCAGUGCAGCGUCUGCAGAUGCCUCUAAGGAGUCCGAAACCAAGUCCGAAGUCAACAACAAGCAAUGAUGGCGAUGGCGAUUCUAGUUAAUAAAAAGGGGGGAGAUGUGGGCGGCAAGCCACCCAGGCACCGAGGCAAGAGACAGAGGACACGAGCUGUUCCAGUAUAAUAAAAUAUAAAACAAGAAUAGUUAUACCAGAUAUAGAUCUUAGAUAUGAUUAUAUACGAAUAUCAUUAAUCAUGAGUUUGUAGCAAUUACUUUUUAUUCCAAUAUUAUGAUAAUCCUCGCUCUAUAAUCAUAGCCUAGGAAAAACCAGGCCAUACAGAGAUAGGAGCUGAGGGGACAUAGUGAAGUGUGACCAGAAGACAAGAGUGCGAGCCUUCUGUUAUGCCCGGACAGGGCCACCAGAGGGCUCCUUGGUCUAGCGGUGACGCCAGCGUCUGGGAAGACACCCGUUACCAGGCGGAUCGUGGCCCAGCCGUAGCAAAAGGUGUCAAGGAACACCUUUUGCAAAAGGUGUCAACACCCGCUACUUAGCAGACUGGGAAAGGGGGGCGGUCUCCCUUUCCCCGGGGGAGUUUAGAGAAGACUCUGUUCCUCCACCUCUUGUGGAGGGCCUGACAUCAGUCAGGCUUGCCCGUAGUUAUCCGGAGGCCUAACUGUCUCCCUGUGAUGCUGUGCUUCAGUGGUCACGCUCCUAGUCUGCCUUCAUUUUCCAUCCUGUACACCUGGCUCUGCCUUCUAGAUAGCAGUAGUAAAUUAGUGAAAAUACUAAUAGUCCCUGAUAUGCAGAAAUAAUGGCAUAAGCUGUCUUUCUCUCUGUCUCCUCUCCCUCUCUGCCUCGGCUGCCAGGCAGGGAAGGGCCCCCUGUCCAGUGGACACAUGACCCAUGUGACCUUACCUAUCAUUGGAGGUGACUCACAUUCUUUACCCUGCCCCUUCUGCCUUGUAUCCAAUAACAGCGCAGUCAGACAUUCAGGGCCACUACCGGUCUCCGCACAUUGGUGGUAGUGGUCCCCCGGGCCCAGCUGCCUUUUCUCUUAU
rnacentral:lncRNA from 1 species